rnacentral:rRNA from 1 species
GGACUGGGAUAACCCUGGGAAACUGGGGCUAAUACCGGAUAGGCAAUUUUUCCUGGAAUGGUUUUUUGUUUAAAUGUUUUUUCGCCUAAGGAUGGGUCUGCGGCCGAUUAGGUAGUUGGUUAGGUAAUGGCUUACCAAGCCGUUGAUCGGUACGGGUUGUGAGAGCAAGAGCCCGGAGAUGGAACCUGAGACAAGGUUCCAGGCCCUACGGGGUGCAGCAGGCGCGAAACCUCCGCAAUGUGAGAAAUCGCGACGGGGGGAUCCCAAGUGCCAUUCUUAACGGGAUGGCUUUUCAUUAGUGUAAAGAGCUUUUGGAAUAAGAGCUGGGCAAGACCGGUGCCAGCCGCCGCGGUAACACCGGCAGCUCUAGUGGUAACAAUUUUUAUUGGGCCUAAAGCGUCCGUAGCCGGUUUAAUAAGUCUCUGGUGAAAUCCUGUAGCUUAACUGUGGGAAUUGCUGGAGAUACUAUUAGACUUGAGACCGGGAGAGGUUAGAGGUACUCCCAGGGUAGAGGUGAAAAUUCUGUAAUCCUGGGAGGACCGCCUGUUGCGAAGGCGUCUAACUGGAACGGUUCUGACGGU